rnacentral:rRNA from 1 species
GAUGAACGCUGGCGGCGUGCCUAAUACAUGCAAGUCGAGCGAACAGACGAGGAGCUUGCUCCUCUGACGUUAGCGGCGGGCGGGUGAGUAACACGUGGAUAACCUACCUAUAAGACUGGGAUAACUUCGGGAAACCGGAGCUAAUACCGGAUAAUAUAUUGAACCGCAUGGUUCAAUAGUGAAAGACGGUUUUGCUGUCACUUAUAGAUGGAUCCGCGCCGCAUUAGCUAGUUGGUAAGGUAACGGCUUACCAAGGCGACGAUGCGUAGCCGACCUGAGAGGGUGAUCGGCCACACUGGAACUGAGACACGGUCCAGACUCCUACGGGAGGCAGCAGUAGGGAAUCUUCCGCAAUGGGCGAAAGCCUGACGGAGCAACGCCGCGUGAGUGAUGAAGGUCUUCGGAUCGUAAAACUCUGUUAUUAGGGAAGAACAAAUGUGUAAGUAACUAUGCACGUCUUGACGGUACCUAAUCAGAAGGCCACGGCUAACUACGUG